GUUUCCAAUGAUGAUCAGAAAAAAAACUUUCGUUCUUCCGAGGUGUUUGUUAUACAAUGCGGAAGCUUCAUGGAGACCUGAACUGAGGAAAC